GAAAUGCGAUAAUUAAUGUGAAUUGCAGAAUUCAGUGAAUCAUCGAGUCUUUGAACGCACAUUGCGCCCCCUGGUAUUCCGGGGGGCAUGCCUGUCCGAGCGUCAUUGCUGCCCUCAAGCACGGCUUGUGUGUUGGGCUUCCGUCCCUGGCAACGGGGACGGGCCCAAAAGGCAGUGGCGGCACCAUGUCUGGUCCUCGGGCGUAUGGGGCUUUGUCACCCGCUCCCGUAGGUCCAGCUGGCAGCUAGCCUCGCAACCAAUCUUUUUAACCAGGUUGACCUCGGAUCAGGUAGGGAUACCCGCUGAACUUAAGC
rnacentral:misc_RNA from 1 species